GUCUACGGCCAUGCCACUCUGAACAAGAUCAAUCCCAUUUGAUCUUAGAAGCUAAGCAGGGUCGGGCCUGGUUAGUUCUUGGAUGGGAGACCACCUAGGAAGACCAGGUGCUGUAGGCG
rnacentral:rRNA from 1 species